GAUUCUUUUUAUUGCUCAUUAGUUAUACUAUCAAGCAAUUAAUACUCCCGUACAUCAUACACGAAUCCUAAAACUAGUAAAAAUAAAUAAAAACGCUUAUUUAAAUCCAUUUCCUACCUCAAAAUUUUCAUACCAAACCCCCUCUAAACAAACAAACAAUUAACUUGAGAGCGCGGACAAACAAUUUCCCUGUCAAAAAGAAAAAAAAACUCGGAGAAACAAAGGAAAAAGUUGUUAGAAAAUGGCGUCUGCACUUCUUCGCCGGCGAUUCUCGUCUUUCACCGUAUCUCGGUAUCUCCACGAUAAAUCUGAGAGUUCCUCCUUGGAGUUGAGGCUUGGACUGUUGGCUAGUCAUUGUGGUUGCUUGAGGCAGUUCAGCAGCCGUGCUACUUCAUCUAGAUUUGAUUUUACUGAUUUGACGUGUCCUCAUACUUGGUAUCCAAAUGCGCGAAAGCAGCAGCGAAAUGUUUUUCUUCAUGUGGGGCCCACAAACAGUGGUAAAACAUACCAGGCGCUGAAGCAGUUGGAAUGUAGCUCAACAGGUGUAUAUUGUGGACCUUUAAGAUUAUUGGCUUGGGAAGUAGCAAAACGUCUGAAUAAAGCGAAUGUUCCUUGUGAUCUAAUAACUGGACAAGAACGAGAGGAAGUUGAAGGUGCAAAACACAUGGCUGUGACGGUUGAGAUGGCUGAUGUGACUUCUCAUUACCAGUGUGCUGUGAUUGACGAGAUUCAGAUGCUGGGUUGCAGGAGCAGGGGCUUUUCCUUUACUCGUGCUUUAUUGGGACUUCCUGCAGAUGAACUUCACUUAUGUGGAGACCCGGCUGCUGUGCCCCUUAUCACGGAAAUAUUGAAAGUUACUGGUGAUAAUGUGCAGAUACAUUAUUAUGAUAGGUUAUCACCUCUGGAGCCAUUGAAGGUUUCUCUUGGAUCUUUUUCAAAUGUAAGAAAGGGAGACUGCGUUGUUACCUUUUCACGUCGGGGCAUAUAUAACUUUAAAAGAAAAAUUGAAAGUGAGGGGAAACAUCUUUGCUCUGUUGUGUAUGGUUCACUGCCCCCAGAAACCCGAAAUAGACAGGCGACUAUGUUCAAUGAUGCUACCAGCGAGUCUGAUGUGCUUGUGGCUAGUGAUGCAAUUGGAAUGGGUCUUAAUUUAAAUAUAUCUAGAAUCAUAUUUUCAACACUAAAAAAGUUUGACGGUGUGGAGCUACGUGAUCUGACCGUGCCAGAGAUCAAGCAGAUAGCAGGGAGAGCUGGUAGAUAUGGGUCUAAGUACCCUGUUGGUGAAGUGACUUGUCUAGAAGGGGAGGAUCUACCACUACUGCACACAUCACUUAACUCUCCAUCUCCACCCCUAGAGCGUGCUGGUCUGUUUCCAAACUAUGAUCUUCUGCUCUUGUAUUCUAGAGCAAAUCCAGAAAUUGGAUUAUACCAUAUUUUGGAACACUUUGUAACCAAUGCUAAGUUAUCUCCAAAUUACUUCAUUGCCGAUUGUGAAGAUUUGCUGAAAGUAGCCGCCAUUAUUGAUGAGCUGCCACUUGGUUUGCAUGAGAAAUACCUCUUCUGUAUCAGUUGGCUUCCGGUACACCUCACGAGGUCCCACUUAGCAAGUGGGCAUUCUUACUACCGGGAUGCACUUGACCAUCAGACGGACAUGCAGGUACAUAUGGUCUCAUAUGCCUAAUAUAUAAACAUUGGUAGAUAUCUCUCACAUGCCUAAUAUUUGUAAGAUUCUUUCUUUGUAGAUGACUUGGUAACCAUAUACUAAUGAUGCUGGAGUUGUUACCUGCUAUAUGUCGAGCUGAUCGACAUGUAUGGCGCAUAUUGGCUUCACUUAUUUGUUUCAACAUUGUGGAGUUUCAUUUUCCUGAUCGAGUUAUGCGCCAAUUUGGAUUCGAGCAGAUGAUUCCAGCACCUUGUGAUACGAGCACAAUAGUUCAUGGCAUAGAUCGGAGGUCGAAGAAUAAGAAUUAUCCCCUAAGACAUCGACCUUACAUAGCAAAGUGGGAUGAGCGUGAGAGACGUGUUGUUCAGGAUACUAAGUUUAGUGGUCGUACUCAUGCCAUUGAGGAGUAUAUGAUAUGAUAUCGUCGCAUCACGAGGUUACACAUUACGGAUCCAUUGAGGCGACCUCCUUCUACACAUUAUCAGCAUGCGUCUGCAGAUAUAAUACUGGUGCAGCACUGUACUAGAGGCUAGAGGCUGCUGAGUCAUUGCCUCCAGAUAUGGGGCGCCAGUUGUUUGCAUAGACAUUGCAGACCAUGAGGGGACUGUGUUGAUGUUGUUGGCCGAGCUGGACAUGGGCACAUCUUACAGAGCGUGCCUACUUCUGCUGCACAUACAUCGACUUCUACAUCUUCUAUGUCUGCUGCUCAUACAUCUACCACGACACCUAGCUUUCGCUUCCAGUCUGUCAAAGGACCUACCGAUGACAUUCUGCAACCACUCCAUCUUCUUUUGAUGCCAUUGCAGAGUUUAUUGAGACCACAUCUAGUUCAUCUAGACCUUCACAGAAAAAGAAGAGGGGCUCUUAGCACUACAUUUAUUUCCAGUUGAUGUAGAUGACGAUAUUUCAUCACAGGGACUUGUACAGUUUGCACAAACAUAUGCUAAGAAAGGUAUUGUUCAUCUACGGGAGAUCUUUACGC